rnacentral:rRNA from 2 species
UCAGGAUGAACGCCGGCGGUGUGCCUAAUACAUGCAAGUCGAACGCGUUGGCCCAAUUGAUUGAUGGUGCUUGCACCUGAUUGAUUUUGGUCGCCAACGAGUGGCGGACGGGUGAGUAACACGUAGGUAACCUGCCCAGAAGCGGGGGACAACAUUUGGAAACAGAUGCUAAUACCGCAUAACAACGUUGUUCGCAUGAACAACGCUUAAAAGAUGGCUUCUCGCUAUCACUUCUGGAUGGACCUGCGGUGCAUUAGCUUGUUGGUGGGGUAAUGGCCUACCAAGGCGAUGAUGCAUAGCCGAGUUGAGAGACUGAUCGGCCACAAUGGGACUGAGACACGGCCCAUACUCCUACGGGAGGCAGCAGUAGGGAAUCUUCCACAAUGGGCGCAAGCCUGAUGGAGCAACACCGCGUGAGUGAAGAAGGGUUUCGGCUCGUAAAGCUCUGUUGUUAAAGAAGAACACGUAUGAGAGUAACUGUUCAUACGUUGACGGUAUUUAACCAGAAAGUCACGGCUAACUACGUGCCAGCAGCCGCGGUAAUACGUAGGUGGCAAGCGUUAUCCGGAUUUAUUGGGCGUAAAGAGAGUGCAGGCGGUUUUCUAAGUCUGAUGUGAAAGCCUUCGGCUUAACCGGAGAAGUGCAUCGGAAACUGGAUAACUUGAGUGCAGAAGAGGGUAGUGGAACUCCAUGUGUAGCGGUGGAAUGCGUAGAUAUAUGGAAGAACACCAGUGGCGAAGGCGGCUACCUGGUCUGCAACUGACGCUGAGACUCGAAAGCAUGGGUAGCGAACAGGAUUAGAUACCCUGGUAGUCCAUGCCGUAAACGAUGAGUGCUAGGUGUUGGAGGGUUUCCGCCCUUCAGUGCCGGAGCUAACGCAUUAAGCACUCCGCCUGGGGAGUACGACCGCAAGGUUGAAACUCAAAGGAAUUGACGGGGGCCCGCACAAGCGGUGGAGCAUGUGGUUUAAUUCGAAGCUACGCGAAGAACCUUACCAGGUCUUGACAUCUUGCGCCAACCCUAGAGAUAGGGCGUUUCCUUCGGGAACGCAAUGACAGGUGGUGCAUGGUUG